rnacentral:rRNA from 1 species
UACGUAGGGUCCGAGCGUUGUCCGGAAUUACUGGGCGUAAAGAGCUCGUAGGUGGUUUGUCGCGUUGUCCGUGAAAACUCACAGCUUAACUGUGGGCGUGCGGGCGAUACGGGCAGACUGGAGUACUGCAGGGGAGACUGGAAUUCCUGGUGUAGCGGUGAAAUGCGCAGAUAUCAGGAAGAACACCGGUGGCGAAGGCGGCUCUCUGGGCCUUACCUGACGCUGAGGAGCGAAAGCGUGGGGAGCAAACAGG